AUCCAGCCAUGCCGCGUGUGUGAAGAAGGUCUUCGGAUUGUAAAGCACUUUAAGUUGGGAGGAAGGGCAGUUGCCUAAUACGUAACUGUUUUGACGUUACCGACAGAAUAAGCACCGGCUAACUCUGUGCCAGCAGCCGCGGUAAUACAGAGGGUGCAAGCGUUAAUCGGAAUUACUGGGCGUAAAGCGCGCGUAGGUGGUUUGUUAAGUUGGAUGUGAAAUCCCCGGGCUCAACCUGGGAACUGCAUUCAAAACUGACUGACUAGAGUAUGGUAGAAGGUGGUGGAAUUUCCUGUGUAGCGGUGAAAUGCGUAGAUAUAGGAAGGAACACCAGUGGCGAAGGCGACCACCUGGACUAAUACUGACCUGAGGGGCGAAAGCGUGGGGAGCAACAGGAUUAGAUACCCUGG
rnacentral:rRNA from 1 species